UAUUAGGGUUUUAUCCUCUACGCGCCGCCAUCCAAGAUCAAUCUGUCGCUUAUAAAUUUCUGUUGGUGCCAUCAAUUGGCGACUCGACGUCUGCCAGGUCUGGAGUUCGAGACGGAGUUCCGCAUCAUCCAAAUCGAAGGCCACUUGUAUCGAGUUGAAAUUGAUCGAGGGCUUCAAGUUGCAGAUCGUGUGUUCCUGUGCAUGGGUGGAGAUUUGGUGAAUUUUGUUACACGAGCCUCUUCCCUCCUACACGAUGUAGCAGCAGCUGCUCCAUGGCUGCAAGGCCAUGUUCGGGAAGAACUUUACAGCAAAGACGAUGAGCAAUCCUUGGUGAAUCAGAGUGCUUCAGUGAUCAAGAUCAGAGCCUUGGACAACCAGUAAGACCAGCAAGAUCAGCAAGAGC